GGAAUCCAUACAGAAACAGAAUUAUCAGGAGGCAGUAACUCAAAUGCAUCUGAGUUUUUCUCAACUUUUUUCAGGUACAUAUCACAUCCAAGUUUAUUUUCGACCACCACCAUCCGAAAAUCAUCAUCAUCAAGUGCCACAAAACUAGUAUUAUCUUGAUGUGCAUCCCCACGACGAGCUUCCUUCAUCUUAAUCGCUUUCUUCUCUAGUUCUCUCUGCUU
rnacentral:misc_RNA from 1 species